GAGCGGGUCGUCUAGCCUGGAUAGGACAGAUGCCUCCUAAGCAUCAGAUCGAGGGUUCAAAUCCCUUCCCGCUCG
rnacentral:tRNA from 1 species